UGGGGAAUAUUGCACAAUGGGCGCAAGCCUGAUGCAGCCAUGCCGCGUGUAUGAAGAAGGCCUUCGGGUUGUAAAGUACUUUCAGUCGGGAGGAAGGUGUCAAGGUUAAUAACCUUGGCAAUUGACGUUACCGACAGAAGAAGCACCGGCUAACUCCGUGCCGGCAGCCGCGGUAAUACGGAGGGUGCAAGCGUUAAUCGGAAUUACUGGGCGUAAAGCGCACGCAGGCGGUUGAUUGAGUCAGAUGUGAAAUCCCCGGGCUUAACCCGGGAAUUGCAUCUGAUACUGGUCAGCUAGAGUCUUGUAGAGGGGGGUAGAAUUCCAUGUGUAGCGGUGAAAUGCGUAGAGAUGUGGAGGAAUACCGGUGGCGAAGGCGGCCCCCUGGACAAAGACUGACGCUCAGGUGCGAAAGCGUGGGGAGCAAACAGG
rnacentral:rRNA from 1 species